UACGGGGGGAGCAAGCGUUGUUCGGAUUUACUGGGCGUAAAGGGCGCGUAGGCGGUCAGCACAAGUCAGUUGUGAAAUCUCCGGGCUUAACUCGGAAAGGUCAACUGAUACUGUGCGACUAGAGUGCAGAAGGGGCAACUGGAAUUCUCGGUGUAGCGGUGAAAUGCGUAGAGAUGUGGAGGAACACCAGUGGCGAAGGCGGCUUUUUGGUCUGUAACUGACGCUGAGGCGCGAAAGCGUGGGGAGCAAACAGG
rnacentral:rRNA from 1 species